rnacentral:rRNA from 1 species
UACGGAGGAUCCGAGCGUUAUCCGGAAUUAUUGGGUUUAAAGGGUGCGUAGGCGGCCAUUUAAGUCAGCGGUGAAAUUUUGCAGCUUAACUGUAACAGUGCCGUUGAUACUGUUUGGCUAGGAUUUGGUUGUAGUGUGCGGAAUGUGUGGUGUAGCGGUGAAAUGCUUAGAUAUCACACAGAACACCGAUUGCGAAGGCAGCACACUAAGUCAUUAUUGACGCUGAGGCACGAAAGUGUGGGGAUCAAGCAGGAUUA